rnacentral:rRNA from 1 species
UGUUAUAGCAAUAUGACACCAAGAGUGACGCACGGGUGCGUAACACGUAUGCAACCUACCCUUUACAGGCGGAUAGCUCGGGGAAACUCGAAUUAACCCGCCAUAAUAUAAUUGGAUGGCAUCAUUUGAUUAUUAAAUCUGCGGAGGUAAAGGAUGGGCAUGCGUCUGAUUAGUUAGUUGGUAGUGUAACGGACUACCAAGACGAUGAUCAGUAGGGGAACUGAGAGGUUGAUCCCCCACACUGGCACUGAGAUACGGGCCAGACUCCUACGGGAGGCAGCAGUAGGGAAUAUUGGUCAGUGGGUGAGAGCCUGAACCAGCCAUGCCGCGUGCAGGAAGAAGGCCUUCUGGG